GCCUGGAUAGUUCAGUUGGUAGAGCAUCAGACUUUUAAUCUGUAGGUCUAGGGUUCGAGUCCCUGUUCAGGCA